AGUGAACGCUGGCGGUAGGCCUAACACAUGCAAGUCGAACGGCAGCACAGUAAGAGCUUGCUCUUACGGGUGGCGAGUGGCGGACGGGUGAGGAAUACAUCGGAAUCUACUUUUUCGUGGGGGAUAACGUAGGGAAACUUACGCUAAUACCGCAUACGACCUACGGGUGAAAGCAGGGGAUCUUCUGACCUUGCGCGAUUGAAUGAGCCGAUGUCGGAUUAGCUAGUUGGCGGGGUAAAGGCCCACCAAGGCGACGAUCCGUAGCUGGUCUGAGAGGAUGAUCAGCAACACUGGAACUGAGACACGGUCCAGACUCCUACGGGAGGCAGCAGUGGGGAAUAUUGGACAAUGGGCGCAAGCCUGAUCCAGCCAUACCGCGUGGGUGAAGAAGGCCUUCGGGUUGUAAAGCCCUUUUGUUGGGAAAGAAAAGCAGCAGGUUAAUACCCCGCUGUUCUGACGGUACCCAAAGAAUAAGCACCGGCUAACUUCGUG
rnacentral:rRNA from 1 species